GACGAACGCUGGCGGCGUGCUUAACACAUGCAAGUCGAGCGGUAAGGCCCCUUCGGGGGUACACGAGCGGCGAACGGGCGAGUAACACGUGAGUGACCUGCCCCAUUCUUUGGAAUAACCAGUGGAAACGCUGGCUAAUGCCGAAUAUGACCAUCGACGGACUCUUCUGGUGGUGGAAAGCUCCGGCGGAGUGGGAUGGACUCGCGGCCUAUCAGCUUGUUGGUGAGGUAACGGCUCACCAAGGCGACGACGGGUAGCCGGCCUGAGAGGGUGACCGGCCACACUGGGACUGAGACACGGCCCAGACUCCUACGGGAGGCAGCAGUGGGGAAUAUUGGACAAUGGGCGAAAGCCUGAUCCAGCAACGCCGCGUGAGGGAUGACGGCCUUCGGGUUGUAAACCUCUUUCAGCAGGGACGAAGCGAAAGUGACGGUACCUGCAGAAGAAGGACCGGCCAACUACGUGCCAGCCGCCGCCGUAACAC
rnacentral:rRNA from 1 species